GCGUUUAUAGCUCAACGGAUAGAGCAAUGACCUUCUAAGUCAAAGGUUGUAAGUUCAAUUCUUACUAAACGUA
rnacentral:tRNA from 1 species